AUGAGGCCUGUGACCAUUCCUGCCGCGGGCUGGGCCCCUGAGCAGGCGGAUGCGACCCUGGUGCUGUCGGGGCCUCCUGAGCCGGGCGGCCCCCGUCUACCCCGAGGCGGCAGCCGCCGGGACGCAGCCCCUGGGCAGUGGCGGGGGUGUGUGGGACACUGGCCAGCCAUGCGUCAGUCCUGCCUCCUGUCCCGUCGCCAGCAGCCCUUGGUGAGGACUGCUUUGAGCAAUAACACUGUCCAAAGAGCAGCUUCCCCGUGUGCCCACAGCCAGGGACUGCCCUGUGCGGGGCUGGCACGCUUAGGGUUUCAGGCUUUCCUCAGCUUUUUGUGAACGGUGAGGUUGAUCUUCAUUACCUGUGCCGAGAGGAAUUUUAAAAUGGGAAGUCUAAGAAAAGCGUUCUCAUUCAGGAGAGAGUUCUGUGACGUGUCCUCCCCGCUAGUAUGUAUUUGUGGUAUUCAUCUUACCACAUCUCAUCCAAAAAGACGAUGCAGCUUUAACCUGAACGUUACAUUGUGUUUUCAAGGAAUUGUUAUUGAUGUUCUCUUUGUAAAAGAAAGAAAUAUUGUAAAUCUUUUUAUUAAAUAAUGUAAAGAUGUAUAUCUGUAUUUUUGGAUCAUGUUAUAGAUGAUGGAUAUAUUGUUUAACAAAUAAAGUAUUUUUUGGAACAAACAUUUGAGAACCCAUCCUUUCUGGAAAUAAGACUUCACUGUCGUGUCGAGAGCUGGGACUGGAUGCUGUGUGGACUCUUGAAGNNNNNNNNNNNNNNNNNNNNNNNNNNNNNNNNNNNNNNNNNNNNNNNNNNNNNNNNNNNNNNNNNNNNNNNNNNNNNNNNNNNNNNNNNNNNNNNNNNNAAAUAAGACUUCAGUGUCGUGUCGAGAGCUGGGACUGGAUGCUGUGUGGACUCUUGAAGGGGGGCGUGCAGUGGGCAGAGUGGGUGAGUCCCACCAGGGGCCUGGGUGGGAUCCUGGGCCUCAGCUGUCUCAUGGCGUCAGAAGGCAGUCCCAAGCUCACGAGAAAGACAUCUUCUUAGUGAGGGCACUGGGGGUCGCUUCCUAGGGGCGUAAGGUGCCUCCUCUGGAACAGAAGCUUUGCCUUCUAGACCUGCUUGGGUGCCAAGGCCCUGAGGAAACUAAACCUCUCUGAGGACAUCCUUGACGAGUGCUAACAGUUAGUGUCCAGAAAGCCAGCUCCGUCAACCACGGUGAAAGCAUGGCUGGGCACCCAUUUUCAGAUGACGCCCUGUUCCCAGACUUAGCUCCUUGCUGGAAGGGAGACUGGCUCUGGAGGAGGGCCUGUGACCUGCCUCUGCCCACACUGUCCCCCACGUGCCCCAGUGGUGCCUGUCUGGGAGGAGGAGGAGGAGGCGGCCAGGCGCUUUGCUGCAGGAGUGGGGAGCUCAGGUGCAUUGCUGCGGGUUCCCAGGGGCCAGGAUGCCACUGGUCUGUGGUAAGAGUGAGGCCUGUGGCGAUCGGGUAAUAAGGUGACAUUGGAUGGCUGUCCAGGUCCCUCUGGUUAUCUUCCCAGUGUCUGUGUCAUUCAGAUAGAUGGACUUGACCACUGGCAGGAUGGCCACGUCGACCUGUGGAGCGAGGACUGUCACAGUAGGAAGGGCCAGGGGGAAGUCUCUCGAGUGUUCUCUCCCUGCCAGGGCGUAACCCAAAGGCAGGGUGCGUCCUAGCGUGCCCCCACUGACUCACUGUGAAGAGGCAGGCAGAUCUUAGAGAAGAAGGUUUACUGGAGGUGGUGAGGCCCCCGCUGCAGCUGCUGUUCCUGAUAAGGCAUCCUUACCAGAGCGGCACUCGCGCUCUUGGCGGGUGGCAGGUGGCAGGUGGCAGGUGGCUGGUUGUGGAUCCAGUCCUCGCUUGUACUCUCUGCCAAUCUGCAGGGACCACCUGGAUCUCUGUUCUACUUGGCAGAUCCUGCAGCACGCCUUCCCAACCCGGCCUUGGGCCACGUACACACUCUGUCGUGCCCUCCGCCAGGGGUCAUCAUCUUAGCGUCCCACAGAACGCCCCUCCUGUCUGCCGCAUCGAGGACUCGAGCUGGUGAGCCAGACGUGUCCUGGAGCCGCCUCGGGAGGACACAGGGGCCAGAAGGUGAGAAGAGAACUCUUCUCCAGGUACCAGUGACUGUGUCAGCCAUCAAAGGGUGCAUGGAAACCACUGUUUGAGUACUGUAACCAUUUAAUGGAGGAUAUCCAAGGGCUGAAGAAGCAAAAAGGGACAUUGAGGUAGCAAUAAUUGGAGGAAGCAAGUUGAGUGUGGAUUUGACAGCUUGGAGGAGGCGUGCUGACUGGGAUUCAGAGGAGGA
ensembl:lncRNA